AUUGAACGCUGGCGGCAUGCUUUACACAUGCAAGUCGAACGGUAACAGGUUAAGCUGACGAGUGGCGAACGGGUGAGUAAUGCAUCGGAACGUGCCCGAUCGUGGGGGAUAACGCAGCGAAAGCUGCGCUAAUACCGCAUACGAUCUGAGGAUGAAAGCGGGGGACCGUAAGGCCUCGCGCGAUCGGAGCGGCCGAUGUCAGAUUAGGUAGUUGGUGGGGUAAAGGCUCACCAAGCCAACGAUCUGUAGCUAGUCUGAGAGGACGACCAGCCACACUGGGACUGAGACACGGCCCAGACUCCUACGGGAGGCAGCAGUGGGGAAUUUUGGACAAUGGGCGAAAGCCUGAUCCAGCAAUGCCGCGUGCAGGAAGAAGGCCUUCGGGUUGUAAACUGCUUUUGUACGGAGCGAAAAGGCUCUCUCUAAUACAGGGGGCUCACGACGGUACCGUAAGAAUAAGCACCGGCUAACUACGUGCCAGCAGCCGCCGUAA
rnacentral:rRNA from 1 species